rnacentral:misc_RNA from 1 species
GAAAUUCUCUGUUCCUUUGUUUUUGUUCAUUCGAAAGCGAAGCGAAUCAGGUCCUUGGGCCUGCUUGUGGUUACACAAGCUUGCCUUAAAUACAGUAGCUGGGCUUCAGCAGAGUUGUUAAGUAACAUUGAAAACUCUCGUAAAACGGAGCCUGCUCUCUAAUCGCCGUCACUGGCACCAUUUUUCUA